ACUGUGCGGAUGACAAGAGUCGCUCUCUAGCGGAAAUAAUGAAGAACUACAACAUUUCAUCGAUAAUUCGAAUUCGAUAUCGACGAUAUCUACGCGAGUCGAUUUCGAUUAUCAAAAUCAAAAUUUAUUGAGAGAAGCUAUCACCUUGAAUGGCGUUUUUGCUGUAAUUGUGUAAAAAAGGUUGAAAGAAUUUGUGAACUGAAACAUUUUAUUUAGUUAUUAAUUGUUGAAGCCACUUGUGCAAGAUGAGUUCACCCGCUACGCAAUCUUCUAGUUCAUCUGUGGCCAAGCCAGGCUUGAAAUUUUACAUGGAUCCUGCUUUGGUUAGAAAAAGGGUUGGUUAUUGUGUAAAACCAACGAAUCCGUUGCUUCAGUUUAUCCCUGAAUGUAAAAAUAUCGACGAAUUCAAUGCUUUCACCAAGACGGAAACAUACCGUAAACUGAUGGAUUUCCGUAAUCCCAUGGUUGAUGUUAAAAUUGAUCCUAGUCUUAAGAAAUAUUACGAAAAAAUUCAAAAUCAGCGCACAAGAUUAUUGGAUGUCAAAGAUUAUCCGAUUUACGCGAAAUUACCUGCGCAGCGAAUGUGGUACCGAGCUACAUGGGCUGUUGUUAUUCUUAGUACUAUUUACAGUCUCAAUAACGUUUUUACCGUAAUUAGACAAAAUUAAUAGCGGUGUUGUUAACUGAUGUUUCAAGUUGUAGUAUUGUUAAAUAAGAAAUUUGUCGAAUUUGUACAUUAUAUAAUACAAAUUAUCUAUUUGCACUUUUA